UACAGAGGUGGCAAGCGUUGUUCGGAAUUACUGGGCGUAAAGGGCGCGUAGGCGGCCAUCUAAGUCAGACGUGAAAUCCCCCGGCUUAACCUGGGAACUGCGUCUGAUACUGGACGGCUGGAGUUUGGGAGAGGGAUGUAGAAUUCCAGGUGUAGCGGUGAAAUGCGUAGAUAUCUGGAGGAACACCGGUGGCGAAGGCGCCCACCUGGCCUGCUACUGACGCUGAAGCUCGAAAGCUAGGGGAGCAAACGGG
rnacentral:rRNA from 1 species